rnacentral:rRNA from 1 species
ACGGGUGAGUAAUACGUAGAGAUCUGCCUUGAAGAGGGGGGUAACCCGGGGAAACUCGGGCUAAUACCGCAUACUACUCUGAGGAGGAAAAGCUAGGGGUAACUCUGGCGCUUUAAGAGGAAUCUACGACUGAUUAGCUAGUUGGUGAGGUAAUGGCUCACCAAGGCGAUGAUCGGUAGCUGGUCUGAGAGGAUGAUCAGCCACACUGGGACUGAGACACGGCCCAGACUCCUACGGGAGGCAGCAGUGGGGAAUAUUGGACAAUGGGGGCAACCCUGAUCCAGCGAUGCCGCGUGUGUGAAGAAGGCCUUCGGGUUGUAAAGCACUUUAGGUUGGGAAGAAGGGGUGGUAGUGAAUAGCUAUCAUCUUUGACGGUACCGACAGAAUAAGCACCGGCUAACUCUGUGCCAGCAGCCGCGGUAAUACAGAGGGUGCAAGCGUUAAUCGGAGUUACUGGGCGUAAAGGGCGCGUAGGCGGAUUUGUAAGUGAGAUGUGAAAUCCCUGGGCUUAACCUAGGAAUUGCAUUUUAGACUAUAAGUCUGGAGUACAGUAGAGGGUGGUGGAAUUUCCGGU